rnacentral:rRNA from 1 species
GUGGGGAAUAUUGGACAAUGGGCGAAAGCCUGAUCCAGCCAUGCCGCGUGUGUGAAGAAGGUCUUCGGAUUGUAAAGCACUUUAAGUUGGGAGGAAGGGCAGUAAGUUAAUACCUUGCUGUUUUUACGUUACCGACAGAAUAAGCACCGGCUAACUUCGUGCCAGCAGCCGCGGUAAUACGAAGGGUGCAAGCGUUAAUCGGAAUUACUGGGCGUAAAGCGCGCGUAGGUGGUUUUGUAAGUUGGAGGUGAAAUCCCCGGGCUCAACCUGGGAACUGCCUCCAAAACUACCAAGCUAGAGUACUGUAGAUGGUAGUGGAAUUUCCUGUGUAACGGUGAAAUGCGUAGAUAUAGGAAGGAACACCAGUGGCGAAGGCGACUACCUGGACUGAUACUGACACUGAGGCACGAAAGCGUGGGGAGCAAACAGGAUUAGAAACCCUUGUAGUCC